rnacentral:rRNA from 1 species
UAUGUGAUCGUCUCUCGCAUAUCAAUAAGCGGAGGAAAAGAAACUAACAAGGAUUCCCCUAGUAACGGCGAGUGAAGCGGGAAGAGCUCAAAUUUGAAAUCUUAAAGGGUUUCCCUUUACGAAUUGUAGUUUAAAGAAGUGUUUUCUGUUGAGGUUUUGGUAAAAGUUCUUUGGAAUAGGACAUCAUAGAGGGUGAGAAUCCCGUAUUUGACCUUUACUUUCAACUUUGUGAUACACUUUCGAAAGAGUCGGAUUGUUUGGGAAUGCAGUCCAAAAUGGGUGGUAAAUUUCAUCUAAAGCUAAAUAUUGGCGAGAGACCGAUAGCGAACAAGUACCGUGAGGGAAGGAUGAAAAGAACUUUGAAAAGAGAGUUAAACAGUACGUGAAAUUGUCAAAAGGGAAGCGUUUGACACCAGUGUUGUUUUUCUGAAAAUCAAUUAAAGAACUGUUUAUGCUAAGUUGUUUAGACUUUAUCAGCUAACUGUUUAGUUUUGAGCUUUUCUUUAAUGCACUUUUCAGUUAACAAGUCAACAUCAAUUUCUUUUGCUGUAAAAAAGCUUGAGGAAGGUGGCUUGAGAUUCGUCUUAAGUGUUUAUAGCCUCUUGCCUAUGCAGUCGGAGAGAUUGAGGUCUGCAGCGUAGAUCCUUCGGGGCUAAGUGCAUUUGUGCUAAGUUAUAGCAUUUUAUAGACAACUUGUUGACUAUGAUUUGUCUUGUAGCUUACUCGCUUAUGUUAUUUUACCUACGCUUAGGAUGUUGAAGAUAUGCGCGACACG